rnacentral:rRNA from 1 species
GACAGAGGGGGCAAGCGUUGCUCGGAAUUACUGGGCGUAAAGGGCUCGUAGGCGGCCAACUAAGUCAGACGUGAAAUCCCUCGGCUUAACCGGGGAACUGCAUCUGAUACUGGAUGGCUUGAGUUCGGGAGAGGGAUGCGGAAUUCCAGGUGUAGCGGUGAAAUGCGUAGAUAUCUGGAGGAACACCGGUGGCGAAGGCGGCAUCCUGGGCCAGUACUGACGCUGAGGAGCGAAAGCGUGGGGAGCAAACAGG